GAUGAAGAACGUAGCGAAAUGCGAUAAGUAAUGUGAAUUGCAGAAUUCAGUGAAUCAUCGAAUUUUUGAACGCAUCUUGCGCUCCUUGGUAUUCCUUGGAGCAUGCCUGUUUGAGUAUCAUGAGCAAAUCUCAAAGUCAAUUCCUUUUGUUGAUUCAAUUGGUUUUGCUUUGGACUUGGAGGCCUUGCAGAUUUCACAGUCUGCUCCUCUUAAAUGCAUUAGCUGGAUCUCAGUAAUUAUGCUUGGUUCCACUCGGCGUGAUAAGUAUCACUCGCUGAGGACACUGUUAAAAAGGUGGCCAGGAAAAUACUGAUUGAACCGCUUCUAACGGUCUAUUAAGUUAGACAAUUACCCUUAAGUUUGAUCUCAAAUCAGGUAGGACUACCCGCUGAACUUAAGCAUAUCAAUAAGCGGAGGA
rnacentral:misc_RNA from 1 species